GAGAUCGGGAUAACACCUGGAAACAGAUGCUAAUACCGGAUAACAACAGAUGAUGCCUAUCAACUGUUUAAAAGAUGGUUCUGCUAUCACUCUUGGAUGGACCUGCGGUGCAUUAGCUAGUUGGUAGGGUAACGGCCUACCAAGGCGACGAUGCAUAGCCGAGUUGAGAGACUGAUCGGCCACAUUGGGACUGAGACACGGCCCAAACUCCUACGGGAGGCAGCAGCG
rnacentral:rRNA from 1 species